rnacentral:rRNA from 1 species
GAUAGGUUAAGUUAAUAAGGGCGCAUGGUGGAUGCCUUGGCACUAGAAGGCGAUGAAGGACGUGACUAACUACGAUAUGCCUCGGUUAGCUGUAAGUAAGCUUACCCGGGGGUUUCCGAAUGGGGCAACCCGAUCUUAAUGAUCAUCAUCUUUUUGAAUUCAUAGAUUAGAUGAAGCAAACGCUGUGAACUGAAACAUCUAAGUAGCAGUAGGAAAGUAAAGAAAUUUCGAUUCCGUCAGUAGCGGCGAGCGAACGCGGAAGAGCCCAAACCUGGAUGCUUGCAUCCAGGGGUUGUAGGACUGAUGUUGAGUUACAAAGGUAUAAGAUAGCAGAAACAGUUGGGAAGCUGUUCCAAAGAGGGUGACAGGCCCGUAUGCGAAAUCUUGUACUCUCUAAUCAGGAUCCUGAGUACGGCCCAGCACGUGAAAUUGGGUCGGAAUCUGGGAGGACCAUCUCCCAAGGCUAAAUACUAACUAGUGACCGAUAGCGAACAAGUACCGUGAGGGAAAGGUGAAAAGAACCCCGAAAGGGGAGUGAAAUAGUUCUUGAAACCGUGUGCUUACAAGAAGUUCGAGGCCGUUAAUGGCUGAGAGCGUGCUUUUUGUAGAAUGAACCGGAGAGUUACGAUUGCGUGCAAGGUUAAGGUGCAAAGACUGGAGCCGUAGCGAAAGCGAGUCUUAAUAGGGCGAAUCAGUACGUAGUUGUAGACCCGAAACCGAGUGACCUAUCCAUGGUCAGGUUGAAGGUGGGGUAAUACCUACUGGAGGACCGAACAAGUGGGUGUUAAAAAACCCUUUGAUGAACUGUGGAUAGC